rnacentral:rRNA from 1 species
ACGACCAUAGCCAUAAGAAAAUUCGGGGUCCCGUUCGCUCCCCCCUAGACAAGCUUAUGAGUGGCAGAUCAGUAGUUGGGUCGGUGACGACCAGCGAACACCGGCUGUUGUAUGUC